GAUGAACGCUGGCGGCGUGCUUAACACAUGCGAGUCGAACGGAAAGGCUCCUGCUUGCAGGGGUACUCGAGUGGCGAACGGGUGAGUAACACGUGGGUGAUCUGCCCUGCACUUCGGGAUAAGCUGGGGAAACUGGGUCUAAUACCGGAUAGGACCGCAUUUUGGAUGGUGUGGUGGAAAGUUUUUUCGGUGUGGGAUGAGCUCGCGGCCUAUCAGCUUGUUGGUGGGGUAAUGGCCUGCCAAGGCGUCGACGGGUAGCCGGCCUGAGAGGGUGUACGGCCACAUUGGGACUGAGAUACGGCCCAGACUCCUACGGGAGGCAGCAGUGGGGAAUAUUGCACAAUGGGCGCAAGCCUGAUGCAGCGACGCCGCGUGGGGGAUGACGGCCUUCGGGUUGUAAACUCCUUUCGCUAGGGACGAAGAGUAAUUGACGGUACCUGGAGAAGAAGCACCGGCUAACUACGUG
rnacentral:rRNA from 1 species